GCCAGGCGUGGUGGUGCACGCCUGUAAUCCCAGCAACUUUGGAGGCUGAGGUGGGAGAAUCGCUAGAACCUGGGAGGCAGAGGUUGCAGUGGGCAGAGAUCAUGCCACUGCACUCAAGCCUGGGUGACACAGUGAGACUCCAUCUCAA
ensembl:misc_RNA Metazoa_SRP Metazoan signal recognition particle RNA